AUGAAGUAGAGGAACAUGAAAGCUAGUCUGCCAACAGGGUGCUAGCGUCUGUAGGACUAGUCUGAAAGCAGGGAGAAACCAUGAACAGCCGAAUCGUGUCCUUCCCUUGGUUGCAUAGAUGACCAAACUUCAGUCGAUUUUUCCAACCCAACCAGCUAUUUUACAUUAAUUUCAUCCGCAUGCGAAGCCCUCGGCUGUGGAUCGUGCCAGCCGCUGACAAUAACAGAUCUUCAAAUACAGCUCUCUCUGUCCGGUACAUAACAAAAGUAACAUUAAAGAAGGAUGCAUCCAUGAGAACCAAAGGGAUACACCCGGUUAUUAAAAGAGCUUUGGAGUGUUCUUU